rnacentral:rRNA from 1 species
AUUGAACGCUGGCGGCAGGCCUAACACAUGCAAGUCGAGCGAGCGGCGGACGGGUGAGUAAUGUCUGGGAAACUGCCUGAUGGAGGGGGAUAACUACUGGAAACGGUAGCUAAUACCGCAUACCAUCAGAGGUGACCAGAUGGGAUUAGGUAGUAGGUGGGGUAAAGGCCUACCAAGGCGACGAUCCCUAGCUGGUCUGAGAGGAUGACCAUCCAAACUGGAACGGAGACACGGUCCAGACUCCUACGGGAGGCAGCAGUGGGGAAUAUUGCACAAUGGGCGAAAGCCUGAUGCAGCCAUGCCGCGUGUGUGAAGAAGGCCUUCGGGUUGUAAAGCACUUUAAGCGGGGAGGCGUUACCCGCAGAAGAAGCACCGGCUAACUCCGUGCCAGCAGCCGCGGUAAUAC